rnacentral:tRNA from 1 species
UUGUAGCUCAGUGGUAGAGCACUUACCUAUCAUGUGUGAGGCACUGGGUUCAAACCCUGGCAA